ACGCUCGACACCUACAGGAGGCAGCAGUGGGGAAUAUUGCACAAUGGGGGAAACCCUGAUGCAGCGACGCCGCGUGAGUGAAGAAGUAAUUCGUUAUGUAAAGCUCUAUCAGCAGGGAAGAAAGUGACGGUACCUGAGUAAGAAGCCCCGGCUAACUACGUGCCAGCAGCCACGGUAAUCUGAGCGGGCUGGCAAGGC
rnacentral:rRNA from 1 species